rnacentral:rRNA from 1 species
UCAGGACGAACGCUGGCGGCGUGCCUAACACAUGCAAGUCGAGCGAUGAAACCCUUCGGGUGGAUUAGCGGCGGACGGGUGAGUAACACGUGGGUAACCUGCCUCAAAGAGGGGGAUAGCCUCCCGAAAGGGAGAUUAAUACCGCAUAACAUUAUUUCUUCGCAUGAAGAGAUAAUCAAAGGAGUAAUCCGCUUUGAGAUGGACCCGCGGCGCAUUAGCUAGUUGGUGAGGUAAUGGCUCACCAAGGCAACGAUGCGUAGCCGACCUGAGAGGGUGAUCGGCCACAUUGGAACUGAGAUACGGUCCAGACUCCUACGGGAGGCAGCAGUGGGGAAUAUUGCGCAAUGGGGGAAACCCUGACGCCAGCAACGCCGCGUGGGUGAAGAAGGCCUUCGGGUUGUAAAGCUCUGUCUUCUGGGACGAUAAUGACGGUACCAGAGGAGGAAGCCACGGCUAACUACGUGCCAGCAGCCGC